GUGAGGAAUAUUGCGCAAUGGAGGCAACUCUGACGCAGCCAUGCCGCGUGCAGGAAGAAGGCGCUACGCGUUGUAAACUGCUUUUAACCGGGAAGAAACCCCAGGACGUGUCCUGGGUUGACGGUACCGGAGGAAUAAGCACCGGCUAACUUCGUGCCAGCAGCCGCGGUAAUACGAAGGGUGCAAGCGUUAUCCGGAUUCAUUGGGUUUAAAGGGUGCGUAGGCGGAGCGUUAAGUCAGUGGUGAAAUCCUGCAGCUUAACUGUAGACUUGCCAUUGAUACUGGCGCUCUUGAGUGCGCUUGAAGUGGGCGGAAUGUGCCGUGUAGCGGUGAAAUGCUUAGAUAUGGCACAGAACACCAAUUGCGAAGGCAGCUCACUAAGGCGAUACUGACGCUGAGGCACGAAAGCGUGGGUAGCGAACAGGAUUAGAAACCCCAGUAGUCC
rnacentral:rRNA from 1 species